rnacentral:ribozyme from 1 species
UGUCCAGCAACUCCUAUCCCUACCUCCUCGCGGUACCGACCGGAAACUAUGAGCAACCUUAGGGAAGAUCGGGUAACCAACCCCGGUGGGGACUUUGGUCAUAGGCUGACAGGGAAGG